ACUGAUGCAUCAACACAUCAAAGCACUCUCUUGCUGACAUCAGGGCUUUCCUGUUGCAGUCGGGUGUGCACGUCUCCAUUACCACUACAAGACCACACUAUAGACAUCAAAGCCCUGUAGGCCUUCCUAGAAAAACAACUGCAAGGCAAGGAAAAUGAACAGUGCUGCACUUAAAACGAUUGACGAAAAACUGCACAAGGACAAUGAGCGAUCUGCUAAAAAGAUUCAGAGUGAGCUUCUGUUUAGAAUACAGUUAAAAGCAUCAGUCUGCAAUAUUAGAAAACCAGUAAAACAACUCAGGUGGACCUAUGGAAAAGCCAGGCUAUUUGCUUUAUACGAGCUUACAUGUCCUACAAAUUUAUUAAUAGGACAUACCCUAUUAAUAAACCGCCAUGUUGUGAAACCGAAAGCAAAGCAUCCAGUAAAAAUUCAUGUCUGGGGAGCCAUAUUCCAUCAGGGACCUGGACCGCUAG